rnacentral:rRNA from 1 species
UACGUAGGGUGCAAGCGUUAAUCGGAAUUACUGGGCGUAAAGCGUGCGCAGGCGGUUGUGCAAGACAGAUGUGAAAUCCCCGGGCUCAACCUGGGAAUUGCAUUUGUGACUGCACGGCUAGAGUGUGUCAGAGGGGGGUAGAAUUCCACGUGUAGCAGUGAAAUGCGUAGAGAUGUGGAGGAACACCGAUGGCGAAGGCAGCCCCCUGGGCUAAGAUUGACGCUCAUGCACGAAAGCGUGGGGAGCAAACAGG